GACGAACGCUGGCGGCGUGCUUAACACAUGCAAGUCGAACGGAAAGACCCUGCUGUUGUGGGGUGCUCGAGUGGCGAACGGGUGAGUAACAAGUGAGUAACCUGCCCUUGACUUUGGGAUAACUUCAGGUAACUGGGGCUAAUACCGGAUAGGAGCUCCUGCUGCAUGGUGGGGGUUGGAAAGUUUCGGCGGUUGGGGAUGGACUCGCGGCUUAUCAGCUUGUUGGUGGGGUAGUGGCUUACCAAGGCUUUGACGGGUAGCCGGCCUGGGGGGGUGACCGGCCACAUUGGGACUGAGAUACGGCCCAGACUCCUACGGGAGGAAGCAGUGGGGAAUAUUGAACAAUGGGCGGAGGCCUGAUCAAGCAACGCCGCGUGCGGAAUGUCGGCCUUCGGUUUGUAAACCGCUUUCGCCUGUGACGAAGCGUGAGUGACGGUAAUGGGUGAAGAAGCACCGGCUAACUACGUG
rnacentral:rRNA from 1 species